GGGGUUGUAGCUCAGUGAUAGAGCGCUCACCUAGCAUGUGCGAGGCCCUGGGUUCUAUUCUCAGCACCACA
rnacentral:tRNA from 1 species